UAGCGUAUAUUAAAGUUGUUGCAGUUAGAACGCUCGUAGUCGGAUUUCGGGGCUUGUCGACUGGUCUGCCGAUGGGUACGCACUGGCCGACGCGUCCUUCCUUCCGGAGACAGUCUCACUCUUAACUGAGCGGAGGCUGGAGACGGAACGUUUACUUUGAAAAAAUCAGAGUGUUUCAAGCAGGCAGCUCGCUCUUGCAUGGAUUAGCAUGGGAUAAUGAAAUAGGACUUUGGUGCUAUUUUGUUGGUUUCGAACACCGAAGUAAUGAUGAGAAGGGACAGUCAGGGGCACUCGUAUUCGGCCGAGAGAGGUGAAAUUCUCAGACCAGCUGAAGACGAACCACUGCGAAAGCAUUUG
rnacentral:rRNA from 1 species